AUUGAACGCUGGCGGCAGGCUUAACACAUGCAAGUCGAGCGGAGUGAUGGUGCUUGCACUAUCACUUAGCGGCGGACGGGUGAGUAAUGCUUAGGAAUCUGCCUAUUAGUGGGGGACAACAUCUCGAAAGGGAUGCUAAUACCUCAUAGGUCCUACGGGAGAAAGCAGGGGAUCACUUGUGACCUUGCGCUAAUAGAUGAGCCUAAGUCGGAUUAGCUAGUUGGUGGGGUAAAGGCCUACCAAGGCGACGAUCUGUAGCGGGUCUGAGAGGAUGAUCCGCCACACUGGGACUGAGACACGGCCCAGACUCCUACGGGAGGCAGCAGUGGGGAAUAUUGGACAAUGGGGGGAACCAUGAUCCAGCCAUGCCGCGUGUGUGAAGAAGGCCUUAUGGUUGUAAAGCACUUUAAGCGAGGAGGAGGCUCUUUUGGUUAAUACCCAGAUGAGUGGACGUUACUCGCAGAAUAAGCACCGGCUAACUCUGUGCCAGCCGCCGCGGUAA
rnacentral:rRNA from 1 species